rnacentral:rRNA from 1 species
UACGUAGGGUGCGAGCGUUAAUCGGAAUUACUGGGCGUAAAGGGUGAGUAGGCGGCAUUGUAAGUUGUGUGUGAAAGCCCAGUGCUUAACAUUGGAAGUGCACAUAAUACUGCAGAGCUAGAGUAUGUAAGAGGGGGGUAGAAUUCCAAGUGUAGCAGUGAAAUGCGUAGAGAUUUGGAGGAAUACCAAUGGCGAAGGCAGCCCCCUGGUAUGAUACUGACGCUCAGUCACGAAAGCGUGGGUAGCAAACAGG